rnacentral:rRNA from 1 species
CUACUACCGAUUGAAUGGCUCAGUGAGGCCUUCGGACUGGCCCAGGGAGGUCGGCAACGACCACCCAGGGCCGGAAAGUCGGUCAAACUCGGUCAUUUAGAGGAAGUAAAAGUCGUAACAAGGUCUCCGUAGGUGAACCUGCGGAGGGAUCAUUA